UAAAAACUUAAAAUUUAAAAGACUUGACGGUACUUCACACCAACCUAGAGGAGCCUGUCCCACAACCGAUAACCCACGAUUAACCCAACCUUUUCUAGCCAACAGUCUAUAUACCGCCGUCGCCAGCUUACCUUAUGAAAGAAACAAAGUGAGCCAAAUAAUACCACACUAAUACGACAGGUCAAGGUGUAACUAAUGAAUAGGACAAGAUGGGCUACAUUUUCUUAACCAGAACAAACAGACAAAUUUAUGAAAUUAAAAAUUGAAGGUGGAUUUAGCAGUAAGUUGAAAAUAAAAUGUUCAGCUGAAGCCAAUGCAAUGAAGCGCGC
rnacentral:rRNA from 1 species